GGGAUCAAACAAAAAAAAAUGGAGCGAGGGCACUAGUGAAAAGAUGUCUUUAAUUAUUGCACAAUGCAAAAACAACUUUUAAUUAAUCAGAAUCAAAUAGCAGGUUUAGGUGAAAGUAAAUGAAAACUAUCAUCCCAAUGAUUUUAUUCAACAAAGAAAGAGAGACUUGUAAGUGCAAAACAACAACAAAGGAGAAAUCUCAUUCUUCAAUAGGCCUUUGACCCAACACAGAGAUGUCUUCAUACCGUUUCUGCACCAUGACAACAAUAUCAAUCAAUGUUAUAAAUGUAUAUUCAUUACUAGUCAACAGAUAUGACUAAUUAUUGAACUAUCAAGCAAGAGUUAAAAACUACUCCAUAUACAUCCGAAAUCUUAAUUAAGCUUUAAAAAGGCGAACCACGGAUCAAUCAGCUAGUUUAAUACUCUAAAGAAAUAAGCACAAUAUAAUCACUUUGUUUCAUAAUGCAAGAUGUUAUGCCUAAAAGCACAAACUUAUUUUUCAAUAAAAACAUCAUUAAAAAUGAUUCUAAAAAGAUGUGAUUGGUUGAACAGUUUCUGUUAAAGGAACGUAGAAAUCUCAAAAAAUCUUACAUUCUAAAACACCAAAAACCUUCUAAAACAUCAUAUAAUUAUGAAACAGAGAGAUUAUUAUGAUGAUAAAAAUGAAACAAAAGAGGUAUGUAAACAGAGAUGUAAUCAUUCCAUAACAAAGUUAGCUAAUACAAAGAAUGAAGAAACAGCUACCACCUAGACUCUAGUUCAAAAGACAAGAGCAAGCAAUACUAAUCAAAAGUUUGGCAAAGUUGUCAACAGGAGGAUUCAUCUUCUGAGUUAAAAAGUAUUAACACAUUCAGACCAAAAUGAAGUGAACUGAAAAUUAAAAAAAAAAAACGGAACAAGUAGUACUCAUUCUCCCAACCGAUCAAUCAAAUCCACAGAAACACACAAGAGGAAGACAGAGUAAAAUAAAAAAAAAGAAACAGAACAUACCCCAACGUUUUUGCUUUCCCAGAGCUUAUGAACACCAUAAUCCACAGCCUGCACAUAUAACAUUUUCAUAUUAAAAAACGAUCCUUUUUGUAUAUCAAACACCAAAAAAAACAAGAACUUUCUCACAGUUUCGUCUUAAAAUUAACAAAUCUCUAGCAGCUAUACAUUGCAAAUAGCUCAAAUUCUAUAUCCGAAUGAAAUGAAUUCACCAAAGAUUGUAACUUUACAUAAAAAAAAUCGAGAUUUUUGUUCCGAUCCCAAAACAGAUCCGAAAGCUAAGAAGGUAUAAUUGUAAAAAAGCGUCUUCGGGAAUAUUCAUUUGUCCAUACUCCAACCCCGAGAACAUAAACAUUUUCACGAGCUCGAUCUCUAGUCUCUUGUCGCAACAAUACAAAACGCAUUAUGCGAAUCCGCAAGUUGAUAAAUUCCACUUUGUUUGUCCAUAUCAAUGUUUUUUUAAAUUUGUUUCUCUAUAAUUCAGGCUAGUCUGGCACAUUUGAAACUUGUCUUAUACAUUGGAACGAUAUGCUUGGUUCAGAGUGUUUUUAUGGUUGUAUAACAACUCACUUACGCUCACUUUCUGAUUUGUAUCCGGUUAAUGACAUGUUUGUGGCACUAUUACAAACCAAUAAGACACGCCGCACCGUGUGUGUUUUCUUCGGGGUAGAUGCAUGCCGUUAGAAAGUAGUGCGCAAAUUAUAUGAUUUAUGAUAAAGAGGUGGUCAAAAUCUAAUCUUUAAUAUUUGCCCCACAGCAUAGUGGAGUGAAUGCUUUAAAGAUCUCUGCACGAAAUUGAACCAAUGUGGUUUUGUCGGUUAAGUUCCCACUUAGUUCUACAAAAUGCAAGAACGAUGAUUCUCUAUCGACGACAGUGACUCCUCUGGCUAUUCUUUAAAGAAGGCAUAUAAUCAUAAUAACCUUUCUUACUUGGGAUCAAACAAAAAAAAAUGGAGCGAGGGCACUAGUGAAAAGAUGUCUUUAAUUAUUGCACAAUGCAAAAACAACUUUUAAUUAAUCAGAAUCAAAUAGCAGGUUUAGGUGAAAGUAAAUGAAAACUAUCAUCCCAAUGAUUUUAUUCAACAAAGAAAGAGAGACUUGUAAGUGCAAAACAACAACAAAGGAGAAAUCUCAUUCUUCAAUAGGCCUUUGACCCAACACAGAGAUGUCUUCAUACCGUUUCUGCACCAUGACAACAAUAUCAAUCAAUGUUAUAAAUGUAUAUUCAUUACUAGUCAACAGAUAUGACUAAUUAUUGAACUAUCAAGCAAGAGUUAAAAACUACUCCAUAUACAUCCGAAAUCUUAAUUAAGC
rnacentral:lncRNA from 1 species